GAGUUUGAUCCUGGCUCAGAUUGAACGCUGGCGGCAUGCCUUACACAUGCAAGUCGAACGGCAGCACGGGAGCUUGCUCCUGGUGGCGAGUGGCGAACGGGUGAGUAAUGCAUCGGAACGUAUCCUGGAGUGGGGGAUAACGUAGCGAAAGUUACGCUAAUACCGCAUAUUCUGUGAGCAGGAAAGCGGGGGGACCUUCGGGCCUCGCGCUCUUGGAGCGGCCGAUGUCGGAUUAGCUAGUUGGUGAGGUAAAGGCUCACCAAGGCGACGAUCCGUAGCAGGUCUGAGAGGAUGAUCUGCCACACUGGAACUGAGACACGGUCCAGACUCCUACGGGAGGCAGCAGUGGGAAUUUUGGACAAUGGGGGCAACCCUGAUCCAGCCAUGCCGCGUGAGUGAAGAA
rnacentral:rRNA from 1 species